rfam:Gossypium raimondii Chr05_contig_1370, whole genome shotgun sequence.
AAUCCAUGAUGAGGUCACCUUCUCAAAAGAUCCUUAAAUCUCUCCCAUGCAUUAUAUAAUGUCUUCCAAUCAAUUUGAGCAAUGUAUCCCAAUCAAUUUGAGCAAAAGAAGAGAUAUAAUUCCUCAAUUU